rnacentral:lncRNA from 10 species
GACAACAGCUAGCCUCCCGCCCGCCCUCCUCUCGCAGCCGCAGCCCGCCUUCAAAGCGGACCAAGGCCCGCGGACGGCGCAGCCAAUAGGCUUUCUGGGGUUUGCUCUCUAGCUAAUGGGAAGACUAUCUUUUUACGCCCUUGGCCAGUAAGAGAGCAGAUGGUGGCCUCAGCGACCUAUGGCAAAGUCCUUUCCCACCCCCUAACGGAGGCUCUGGGAGAGAGAGGAUGCAGGACCAAGACCCGAGAAGAAGCCUGCGUCUGGGCCUGGGUGGGACGGAUUCAGGCGCGCAGCAACAACAGGGUGCCUGGCACAAGGAGAUACUCAGUAAAACUCUCAUCUGCUGUGUCAUUAAGGGGAACACUUAAUGGCUCACGCCUGUAAUCCCAGCACUUUGGGAGGCCGAGGCGGAAGGAUCACCUGAGCCCAGGAGUUGGAGACCAGCCUGGGCAACAGAUUGAGACCCUGUCUCAACAAAGAAGAAGAAGAAGAAAAAGGCCAGGCGCCGUGGCUAAUGUCUGUAAUCCCAGCACUUUGGGAGGCCAAGAAGGGAGAACUGCUUGAGGCCAGGAGUUCGAGACCAGCCUGGUCAACAUAGCGAGACACCCCCCCCAUCUCAAAAAUAAAUAAAUCAAAAUAAAAAAUAAAGAGGAGGCCGGG